UUAUCAAUAAAAUUUAUUUUAUAAAAAAAGAAUGAGUUUCUGCUGUAGAUCUAAGGACCAUAUUUGGAGAAAGCUUCCUCGAGUCUUACUUUAUUUAAAUUCAUUAGUGAAAAUGUAUGCAGAAUAUUAAUGGACUUGGCAGGGUUUGAGGGAAAUAACAGUUUCUCUUCAAACUGGAGGUGUUAUGUACAUGUCUAAUGGAGAAGGAUUUCUGUUUGUGCAUGCACAAAAUUUCCCUCUUCCCAUACAAUACUAGCAAAUUGAGAAUUUUCAACCUUUU